rnacentral:misc_RNA from 1 species
UGGUUCUGGCAUCGAUGAAGAACGCAGCGAAAUGCGAUAAGUAGUGUGAAUUGCAGACUUUAGUGAAUCAUCGAAUCUUUGAACGCACAUUGCGCCCCUUGGUACUCCAUCGGGCAUGCCUGUUCGAGCGUCAUUUUCACCCUCAAGCCCAGCUUGGUGUUGGGCACUCGUCCGCGGCGUUGCACGCCAGGACCUGCCCCAAAUGCAUUGGCGGCAGGCGUGUCGGCCCCGAGCGCAGCACAUCGCGUCUCUCGGGCGCCCCGCGCCGGCCCCCACAAGACGACCUCUCGAUGGACCUCGAAUCAGGUAGGGAUACCCGCUGA